rnacentral:rRNA from 1 species
UCGACGGCAGCACAGGAGAGCUUGCUCUCUGGGUGGCGAGUGGCGGACGGGUGAGGAAUACAUCGGAAUCUACCUUUUCGUGGGGGAUAACGUAGGGAAACUUACGCUAAUACCGCAUACGACCUACGGGUGAAAGUGGGGGACCGCAAGGCCUCACGCGAUUAGAUGAGCCGAUGUCCGAUUAGCUAGUUGGCGGGGUAAUGGCCCACCAAGGCGACGAUCGGUAGCUGGUCUGAGAGGAUGAUCAGCCACACUGGAACUGAGACACGGUCCAGACUCCUACGGGAGGCAGCAGUGGGGAAUAUUGGACAAUGGGCGCAAGCCUGAUCCAGCCAUACCGCGUGGGUGAAGAAGGCCUUCGGGUUGUAAAGCCCUUUUGUUGGGAAAGAAAUCCUGUCGAUUAAUACUCGGUGGGGAUGACGGUACCCAAAGAAUAAGCACCGGCUAACUUCGUGCCAGCAGCCGCGGUAAUACGAAGGGUGCAAGCGUUACUCGGAAUUACUGGGCGUAAAGCGUGCGUAGGUGGUGGUUUAAGUCUGCUGUGAAAGCCCUGGGCUCAACCUGGGAAUUGCAGUGGAUACUGGAUCACUAGAGUGUGGUAGAGGGAUGCGGAAUUUCUGGUGUAGCAGUGAAAUGCGUAAAGAUCAGAAGGAACAUCCGUGGCGAAGGCGGCAUCCUGGGCCAACACUGACACUGAGGCACGAAAGCGUGGGGA